rnacentral:misc_RNA from 1 species
GAAAAUGAUUAGUUGAUUCGUUCUUUCGAAAUCUUAACAGCCUUCCUGGUUCUCCGCCCUGCCUUCACAGUAACUGGCUCCCCUACCUUCACUGUCACUCGCGCUCUCUCUCUCUCUCACGCACACAUUUUGAGCCCUAGCUAAAACAUUAAGUUAGGCUUUAAUCUAGCUCAACUGAAAAAUGAAGAUGUCAGAUGCAAUAUGUGUCAGGGUUUAUAGGUAUGGAUCAUCGAUACAAGAACACACUAUUUUUAUUUGGUAAUUUGGAGCAGAAUUUAUAAGUGAGAACCAUAACGCUUAUUAUAGAAACCCUAAACAAAUAGAUAUGAGAUCGGAAGAUCAUACACAGAGGAAAAUUCUUGUCUAGAAUCCUACACAGGAAAUAGAAGAUGCAUACCUAAAUUAUUAGUAAAAGCUGUG